GGCCAAGAUGCCCUGCAUCAACUGGCCGCUGACGGAGUUCUUUCAUUACUCCGUGGGCUCCGUCCUCAUCGUCAUCGCCUCCAUCGUCGCCGCUGUGAAGAGCGGCGGCGUCUCGGCGCUGGUGGCCGGAUCGGUGUUUGGCUUCAUAGCCACGUUCCUGAUGGCCGUUAGCUUGUGGACGUCUUACAGCGUGACCUGCGGCCACCAGACGGGUGCAGCAGUGUAAGAAGUGAUCGUCCUGGAGGAGCCAGCUGGCUGUGUCCUGUUUUCUGCCUAGCAACCACCUGGAUAAUUAACCUGAUUGGAUAAUAAUUCUUAACAACAGCUGAUCCAGGACCAGCUGUUGUUUCUCCUCAAUAGUUUAUUUCCUCUUUCCUAAAGUCACAUUUUCCUGUUCAAGGUGCUCGUUCACGCUUAAACGUCAUCAAAGAAGCUUUUUAGAAAGGUCGACGCCCACUUCUCGUUAUGCUGUAAAGAAACAAAAAAGGACGAUUUUCCUGCCAAAGUUCCUCAUUACAGGAACUCGCUUGAUUUCACUUUUCAUCCAUUCCAACUUUUUUUAAUCUACUUUUUAAAAUUAUGUAAAAGUCUGGACCACGAAUGCAUUAAGCUCUUUAAAAAAAAAAUCACUUUUCUUAAAUGUCCAGCGAGGAAACACAGUACAGCCCUGUUAGCAUGCUACGCUAAUUUCUGCUAUCAUUAUUCCAGUGUGCUAACAAACUUUACCAAGCAUAAUGUUUUACAGGAAAUACGUUUGCAUGUUAAACAUCUCUCAGGCGAACGUGUGCUGAAAUACAAGAACAACAGUAGCAUGCUGAAGGAUUCUGGGAAAUGGAACGAAAUUAAACAUUAGCAUGCUAACGUUAGCAUGCUAACGAUGCAAACCCCAAAAAAACAAGGAAAAGUGCUCAAUCGUUCUAUAAUUGAAACAUAAAUAUGGUCACUAUAAAUAUUGUUCCUAUUGUCAACAAACGUGCAGAACCAAACAAACAAUUAAUUGAUCCCAAUAUACAAACAAAUAGUCCUCAAUAGAAAUGGGGAUUGUCUGAGUAAUACAACUCCAGCGAGCAGCUGCUUUAGGAAAUAACUGAUGAGAAUAUUGUUGUUCCUAAAGAUUCUUCAGUGGGAACCAACGCGCUUGUGAUCUGCACGUGUUGACAAUAAGAAAAACAAAACAAUAACACCAACAACGUCCUUCAGUCACAUCACUACUGUUUGAAACAGAAUCGGGACGUUAACGGCACCGUUAUCGUACGCCUUGCUCGCCCUCAGCGGCGUUUAUGACGUUUAUGACGUUUAUGGCGUUUAUGGCGUUUAUGACGUUUAUGACGACUCUCCUCGGUGCUUUAAACAAACAGCUGUUCAACGUUGACUUUAAAUUCAACCAGGAAGCACAAACGGUCUGAUUUGAUGCCAAAAAGAAGAGAGCGGCGUCCUCAGUGAGCUCAUAACGUGGUUAUGAAUCUACGGAGCCGGUCGAGGGGACGGAACACAAAAUGAGGAAGUCUGUUUGCACGGAUUAAUUAAACAGAUUCAUAAAUGUAUUAAGAAAACAAGGACUUCAUUGAGAUUCAUACGUACACAUGGAUUAUAAACAUUUAUGCAUGAGUUAUUAAAUGUGCAGAUUAAUAUAUUGAACACGCAAUUUGAUAAAGAUACCUACACAUUUAAUAAAAUGUAUAUUUAUUGAUGAUGGCUAAUGCAUUAAUGUACAGAUUUAUAGAAGCUUAAUCCGGAUUAAUAAAUCGUACAUGUGGAUUAAAAAUGAUCACAGGUAAAUACAACAAUGUGCAUAUUAUUUAUAAAUAAUUUAGAUAAAGAUAAGAUUAAGACAUGCCUACAGAUUAAUAAUGCACAUUAAUAAAACCAAGACACAGACUAAUACAUGUACUAAUUAAUAUAUUAAAUUUGAAGAAAUAAUCAAAUACAUGUGUACUUAUGGAUACUUUAAAAAACAAUUAGAGUGAAUAAAUUAAUUGUAAAUCGGCCGACAUUUGCACGGAUUAUAAAAAAUGAUGCACAAGUAGGAAUACUAAAGUAUGCAUCUGGCAUUCAGUUGAAAUGGCAAAAAACUACAAUUAAUUUGCAAAAGCUUUAUUUAAUUGUCACAAAAUAGUGGAAAACUUUAAAUAUCCUGUGUAUAAAACCACAAAGAGUUGAUUUUGAAAAGCACAAAAUAUCUCACGUCAUCCUCUCGUUGUCGUGUUCUUCACCAUUUCUCUGACUCUGUGUUUUUAUUGAUUAUCUUUUGAUUAUUAUCUUUAUGGUUCUGUGUGCGCAGAUUUCCACAUCGUGCGUCGGCUCCGUAGAUUUCUGACCAAUCAGAGUUUCUGAUCGCAAAUAAAACUCAAAUGUUCAGAAGAAGUGGAUUAAAAAAGCAGCUCGUCUUUUAAUUCUACAAACGUUUCAGAUGGAUUUAAUAGUGAUGAAGAGAACUGCUUUAAAACGACGUGUUACGUUAGCUAGGAAGCUAGCUAUAGCUAGCUCACAAAAUGGCCACGAUAGUGCACAAUCUAUACUCGACAGUGAUAAGUAGUUUUAUUCUUUGAGAAACGUGUCGGAACCUUUUUCUCACUUAAAAAUAAGUUCUGAAAUAUUUUCUAAACAAAAAUAAUCGUUGUCGAGGCGUUAUUAUGCUAACCUAGCCUAGCAUCCUCAUCCUCAUUUGAGUCGGAAAUGAAGUCAAACAACUUUGAAACAUUGAAAUAUGUUAAAAAUAUAUUAUUUUGCUAAUGUGAAUUCUGAGCUAGCAUUAGCUCAGCCCAUAAAUCGAGCCUGACUUCAUUGUUGACAAUAUCAAAUGCAGUCUUACUCGUUAGCCUCGAUGAGUUAGCAUCACGCUAGCAGACCUCGGUAACAUUUAAAUCUAAAGUGAAUCCAUGUAAAGUUGUGGUUCACGUUUAAAAAGAAAACUCUGAAUGACGUGAAGCUGAACUCUGGCGUUCAGCCUCAUAUUACAGAUUACUGCCUUACUGUCCAUCAGAUGCCAAAAAUAAUAAUCAGCUUCACGUCUGAUCCGAGUUCCAUCGAGCGUUUCACUCUGAGUGGAGUUCAGGCUCACGGGACGUCUUCAGGUCUUCAGAGGAGGUUCUCCUGAAGGCCAACAAUCUGUCGGAUGAAAGCAGAACCAAAAAGAAGUUCACCUGAACGCAGAUUGUUUACAAAUGAAGGUUCGUGGUUUGUGUUAAAAGAACCACGUUUGUACAGUUUGUAGCCACCAAAUGUAAAAUGACUCCACGCCGGUCUCCUGGGUCAAAGUCCCGACUUCAAGUGAAGUUAUCGCGAUACGCCGUCACCUGGAUGAUCGAUUGAUAAUUGGUAAUAACAAGCACGCUCUGCUUCAAUUCUCUCAAGAGAAAAUUGUAAUAUUUUUGCAUUUUAAGUUCUCAAAUAAAUGAGAAAAUACAAAUAAAUCCACGUGAUUAUUUCAUAUGGACUAUUUCUCCUAUUGAGCGACCAGAGAACGUGCAACAUCGCGAUAUAUAAACGUCGUUAUCGAGAUAAUGAAAUGACGUAGAUGGAAGAUUUUGGUCGGCUCUCAACACCUGACUCCGCCCCUCGAGACGGCGUUUAGAGGUCGCUUCACGUCUUCCCGUGGAAUCGGGCCGGCUCGGUGACGUCGUCCGAUAGCCGACGACGAAGAGAACAACGGGAAAGUUCAAUUUGGAAAGGGGGCGGGUCUUGUUUACCAGGUCUUGUGUGGACCCGCCUCUUUCACUGUGAUCCAAGAACGACAUUUUGGAUCGACGGCCAAAAGAUUUCAACACGUCUUCGCUCACGAUUGUCAGCUUUUUAUUUAGCGACAGCCUUCAAUCACGACUUAAAGAAACCUUUCUGCGUCUCAGAUAUCGUUGUUUUACCUUCUUUGAUGGUCCAAGGUGUUCACAUUAUUAUUAUUAUUAUUAUUAUUAUUAUUAUUAUUAUAUUUGCUGCUUCACUGUAUUUUUGUUUUUAUUGUCUGGACCAGUUCGACACAUAUGAAGGUUUUAUUUCAUUAUAGAUGCACUGAUAAAAACAAUCAAAUCUAAUUUGAGAAUUUGUUAAGAAUCACUGGAUGAAAAUAAUUGAGAUCUUUUAGAUUUAGUCAGCGUGCUUUUGAUUUGCUUCAAGAUUUUAAUGAUGAACUUUUCAUAUUACCAGUUUUUCCAUCAAUAUCUCCCCGGCGACCAUCGAAUUUGGGUCAUUUUUGUUGGCAAAUCUGGUUUCAUAACGCUGCCUUGACGCUUUUUGGAGUGAAUUUGUCCUUCAGUCAUUUGGGGAUUUGGCCCUUUUGUGUCUUCAGAUAAAAAUGUAUGCUGAUGAGUUAUGAAUGUGAACAUUGAAUCUUUGGACUCCAGGCUGAAAAAACUAAACAGACUGUUUACAUUAAUUUUUGCGUGCACGUAUUUUCUGAUUAUUGUCACCGUUGCAAAGCGACCUGAUGUCAGUUGGUCCUCUGGGGAAACAACCGGAGGCUUCGAGGGCUCAUAAGUUCUGAUCCAGCGCUCAUAACUUUAUGCUCAGUCGACGACGUUUCACAGAAAUCUGAAAAAAGACUUUCGGGUCGACUUAAAAGUCACAAAAAAAGGUGAUUGACCCCGAGACACAAAGGUCACCUCUGUUAACACAAAGGCUUCCUGUCUUGAUUCCACGUGGUUUGUUUGGACUUGGUUGAAGAGACAUUUCUCGGCUCAGGGUUCUUUGAACUGUAAAGGACCCCUCGAGGUCCAUUUGGUCGUUCUGGACCUUUUGGUCGGAUCGCACAACCUUCCGAUCGACUUCUGGUCCGUUUGCUUCAACAUUAAGUUUCAAAAGUUCACGCUUGAGCUUCAAAUCAGCCGUUGAGGAAACAGUUUGAAUGGAUACACAUCGUAUCUGCUGAGAGAGAUCCAGGUUUGAACUUUUAGAGGCGUGAAACUACAACAAAACAAACAAACGUGAUUUUCCUUCAAUGAAAAGGUCUCGUGAAAAUCAAUACAAGCCACCUGGACUCAAGAGAGAUCUCCGAUUUCAUAUACAGCCGUUUGUGUUGACUAUAACUUUUCUUAGUCAGAGUACAUCAUGUCUUUUUGUACUUUACACCCUUCAGCAUCAUUUUUAACAGCGUUAAAUAACAUUGUGUAAUAAUCGCUGAGCGGGCGAUCGCCAACGAACCUCAAAGGGACGAGAUGUCGGGCUUCUGUGAGACGUCCAUUCACGACUCUGGAUCAGCGCUACGAGCUAACGAGCUAACGAGCUAAAACACGAGAACCCACCAGUCUCAUCCUUAAAACCUUAAACCGGGACGAGCCCGGUGGACUCGAGACGAUAGUUCACUUUUCAGUUCUCUCUCCAAAGUGCCUUAAUGUUGAGUUAUUGAUCGGCCGACAGAUUAAUCUGCUAUUUGCAAGCUAACGGGCGACUGAGUUUCAGUGAGGAAAGAAACACGUUUAAAAAGGAGCUUUUAUUGUGUUUUAGAAGAGAAGAUGUCCACGUAGUAUUAUUACAUCACAAAGAGCUCACAUUGACUUGUGUUGUUUUUAUACAUUUUUUUAAGUGUGUUUAAACUACAAGUUGGGAAUUAUUGCAUGUUGGAAAUUAAAAGCUCAUUGCACCA